GUAGUCCACGCUGUAAACGAUGAGUGCUAGGUGUCGGGGCGAGAGCUUCGGUGCCGCAGCUAACGCAAUAAGCACUCCACCUGGGGAGUACGUACGCAAGUAUGAAACUCAAAGGAAUUGACGGGGGCCCGCACAAGCGGUGGAGCAUGUGGUUUAAUUCGAUGCAACCCGAAGAACCUUACCAAGGCUUGACAUACCGUUGACCGGUGCAGAGAUGUACCUUCCCUUCGGGGCAAUGGAUACAGGUGGUGCAUGGUUGUCGUCAGCUCGUGUCGUGAGAUGUUGGGUUAAGUCCCGCAACGAGCGCAACCCUUACUAUUAGUAGCCAUCAGGUUAAGCUGGGCACUCUAAUGGGACUGCCGUGGAUAACACGGA
rnacentral:rRNA from 1 species